GCUCAACCUCGGGCCUGCAGUGGGUACGGGCAGACUAGAGUGCGGUAGGGGAGAUUGGAAUUCCUGGUGUAGCGGUGGAAUGCGCAGAUAUCAGGAGGAACACCGAUGGCGAAGGCAGAUCUCUGGGCCGUAACUGACGCUGAGGAGCGAAAGGGUGGGGAGCAAACAGGCUUAGAUACCCUGGUAGUCCACCCCGUAAAACGUUUGGAAACUAGUCUGUCGCCAGCCCUUUCCCACCGGUCUCCGAGUUGACGCAGCUUAACCGCAAUUUAAAGUUCCCCGCCUGGGGGAGUAACGGGCCGCAAGGCUAAAAACUCAAAAGGAAUUGACGGGGACCCGCACAAGCGGCGGAGCAUGCGCGCACUCUCAACUUCCGAUGCAACGCGAAGAACCUUACCCAAGGCUUGACAUAUAGAGGAAAGAUCUGGAAACAGUCUCCCCCGCAAGGUCUCUAUACAGGUGGUGCAUGGUUGUCGUCAGCUCGUGUCGUGAGAUGUUGGGUUAAGUCCCGCAACGAGCGCAACCCUCGUUCUAUGUUGCCAGCACGUAAUGGUGGGAACUCAUGGGAUACUGCCGGGGUCAACUCGGAGGAAGGUGGGGAUGACGUCAAAUCAUCAUGCCCCUUAUGUCUUGGGCUUCACGCAUGCUACAAUGGCCGGUACAAAGGGCUCGCACAUACCGUGAGGUGGAGCGAAUCCCAAAAAGCCGGUCUCCAGGUUGCGAGAUUGAGGUCUGCAACUCGACCUCAUGAAGUCGGAGUCGCUAGUAAUCGCAGAUCAGCA
rnacentral:rRNA from 1 species